AGGCUUUGAUCCUGGCUCAGGAUGAACGCUGGCGGCGUGCUUAACACAUGCAAGUCGAACGAACUACGGGUUAGUGGCGGACGGGUGAGUAACGCGUGAGAAUCUGCCCUCAGGAGGGGGAUAACGGCUGGAAACGGCCGCUAAUACCCCAUAUGCCGAGAGGUGAAAUGAGUUAUCGCCUGAGGAUGAGCUCGCGUCUGAUUAGCUAGUUGGUGGGGUAAGAGCCUACCAAGGCAUCGAUCAGUAGCUGGUCUGAGAGGAUGAUCAGCCACACUGGGACUGAGACACGGCCCAGACUCCUACGGGAGGCAGCAGUGGGGAAUUUUCCGCAAUGGGCGAAAGCCUGACGGAGCAACGCCGCGUGAGGGAUGAAGGCCUCUGGGCUGUAAACCUCUUUUAUCAAGGAAGAAGAUCUGACGGUACUUGAUGAAUAAGCCACGGCUAU
rnacentral:rRNA from 1 species